rnacentral:rRNA from 1 species
AGAGUUUGAUCCUGGCUCAGGAUGAACGCUAGCGGCAGGCCUAGUACAUGCAAGUCGGACGGGAUUGAGUAGCUUGCUAUUCAUGAGAGUGGCGCACGGGUGCGUAACACGUAUGUAACCUACCUUAAUCAGGGGGAUAGCCUCUCGAAAGAGAGAUUAAGCCCGCAUAAAAUCAUAGGACAGCAUUGUCUAAUGAUCAAAUAUUUAUAGGAUUGAGAUGGGCAUGCGGAACAUUAGCUAGUUGGUAAGGUAACGGCUUACCAAGGCUACGAUGUUUAGGGGAUCUGAGAGGAUGACCCCCCACACUGGUACUGAGACACGGACCAGACUCCUACGGGAGGCAGCAGUAAGGAAUAUUGGUCAAUGGGCGGAAGCCUGAACCAGCCAUGCCGCGUGCAGGAAGACGGCCCUACGGGUUGUAAACUGCUUUUAUACCGGAAUAAACCCCCCGUAUGUAUACGGGGCUGAAUGUACGGUAAGAAUAAGGAUCGGCUAACUCCGUGCCAGCAGCCGCGGUAAUACGGAGGAUCCAAGCGUUAUCCGGAUUUAUUGGGUUUAAAGGGUGCGUAGGCGGCUUUUUAAGUCAGGGGUGAAAGACGGUAGCUUAACUAUCGCAGUGCCCUUGAUACUGAAGAGCUUGAAUGUACUAGAGGUAGGCGGAAUGUGACNGUAGCGGUGAAAUGCAUAGAUAUGUCACAGAACACCAAUUGCGAAGGCAGCUUACUAUGGUAUGAUUGACGCUGAGGCACGAAAGCGUGGGGAUCAAACAGGAUUAGAUACCCUAGUAGUCC